rnacentral:rRNA from 1 species
AGUUGCCAUCAGGUAAUGCUGGGGACUCUAAAGGAACUGCCUACGCAAGUAGUGAGGAAGGCGGGGAUGACGUCAAAUCAGCACGGCCCUUACGUCCAGGGCUACACACGUGCUACAAUGGCCGAUACAGAGGGCAGCUACCUGGUGACAGGAUGCAAAUCUCCAAAGUCGGCCUCAGUUCGGAUCGGAGUCUGCAACCCGACUCCGUGAAGUUGGAUUCGCUAGUAAUCGCGCAUCAGCAUGGCGCGGUGAAUACGUUCCCGGGCCUU